GGCAACGGAUAUCUCGGCUCUUGCAUCGAUGAAGAACGUAGCAAAAUGUGAUACUUGGUGUGAAUUGCAGAAUCCCGUGAACCAUCGAGUCUUUGAAUGCAAGUUGCGCCUGAAGCCAUUAGGUUGAAGGCACGUCUGCCUGGGCGUC
rnacentral:rRNA from 1 species